UUGAUCAUGGCUCAGAAUGAACGUUGGCGGCGUGGAUUAGGCAUGCAAGUCGAGCGCGAAUCGUAGCAAUACGAGGAGAGCGGCAAACGGGGUAGGAAGGAUUGGUGACGUACCCUCCGGACGGGGAUAGCCAUGGGAAACUAUGGGUAAUACCCCGAUGAUCUCCUGAGUUUGAAUACUUAGGUGCAAAAGGUGUGAUUCCACCCGGGGGAGCGGGCCAAUUCUGACAUCAGCUAGUUGGUAAGGUAACGGCUUAUCAAGGCUUUGACGUCUAGGGGGGUGUGAGAGCAUGGCCCCCGCCACUGGGACUGAGAUACUGCCCAGACACCUACGGGUGGCUGCAGUCGAGAGUCUUCGGCAAUGGGCGAAAGCCUGACCGAGCGACGCCGCGUGCGGGAUGAAGGUCUUCGGAUUGUAAACCGCUGUCAGAGGGGAUGAAGUUAUGGUGGGUUCUCCCUCCAUAUUGACAGAGCCUCAGAGGAAGCACGGGCUAAGUAUGUGCCAGCAGCCGCGGUAAUACAUACUGUGCGAACGUUAUUCGGAUUCACUGGGCUUAAAGGGUGCGUAGGUGGCUUGUUAAGUAGGGUGUGAAAGCCCCCAGCUCAACUGGGGGAACUGCAUUCUAUACUGGCGAGCUAGAGUGAGAUAGGGGUGUGUGGAACUGCCAGUGGAGCGGUGAAAUGUUGUUGAUAUUGGCCAGGAACGCCGGUGGCGAAAGCGACACACUGGGUCUCAACUGACACUGAAGGCACGAAAGCCAGGGGAGCGAACGGGAUUAGAUACCCCCGGUAGUCCUGGCCCGUAAACGCUGAGUACUCGUCCGGGAGCGGCUUCGGUUGCUCCAGACUUAGAGAAAUCGUUAAGUACUCCGCCUGGGGAGUAUGGUCGCAAGGCUGAAACUAAAUCGAAUUAACA
rnacentral:rRNA from 1 species